rnacentral:rRNA from 1 species
CGUGUAGGCGGUCGGGUAAGUCAGAUGUGAAAGCCUUCUGCUUAACAGAAGAAGUGCAUUUGAAACUGCUCGGCUAGAGUACGGGAGAGGAGAGUGGAAUUCCCGGUGUAGAGGUGAAAUUCGUAGAUAUCGGGAGGAACACCAGUGGCGAAGGCGGCUCUCUGGUCCGAUACUGACGCUGAGACGCGAAAGCGUGGGGAGCAAACAGGAUUAGAUACCCUGGUAGUCCACGCCGUAAACGAUGGGCACUAGGUGUGGGAGGUAUUGACCCCUUCUGUGCCGAAGUUAACGCAUUAAGUGCCCCGCCUGGGGAGUACGGCCGCAAGGCUAAA